rnacentral:lncRNA from 1 species
CAACAUUGGUGAUUGGUUGGCACAGUUGGUAAAUAGUUGGCGUUGGCAGCACAACAAGAAACCGACGUUGGCCCAACAAAACUCAGCCAACAGUUAUUUUGACACUAUUGGCCCCUUGUUGGCCCAACAAAGCUCAGCCAACAGUUAUUUUGACACUAUUGGCCCCUUGUUGGCCCAACGACUUUCCACCAACUGUCAUUUUGGUGUUAUUGGCCCAAUGUUGGCCCAACAUUUUCUUACCAACUGUUAUUUUUAAAGUAGCUUGCCCA